CUACUCGCUUUGGCGGUACAUAUGCUAAAAAUGGAACAAUACAGAGAAGAUUAGCAUGGCGCCUGCACAAAAUUGUGAAGCGUUUCAUAUCUUC
rnacentral:snRNA from 1 species